CCGAGUUAGGGUCCCCUCGUGGGGCCCGACCUCCCAACCCCGUGUCUAAUAAACUUGUACGUGUUGCUUCGGCGGACCGGCAGUCGCAAGACCGCCGCCGGGGAGGGUUCGCCCCCCUGGAGAGCGUCCGUCGAUGGCCCAACCAAAACAAACUAUCAAAACCAAAACUAUUGAAACCCCCUUCUGAAUCAAACCUUUUGAUAUACCAAUCAAAAACA
rnacentral:misc_RNA from 1 species